CGCAGGUGGAGAAAACCCGACAAAGACUUAAUGGCAGAGGUAGUAAAACUCAGUGCGUCACCCCAGACAUUUUUUGAGGUACUCUAGAGUUGUACUUCAGGUCUGUAAGGUUAUUAGCGGGAAACUACGGAUAAAUCAACGAUCAAUCCCAAGAGGAAAAAUGAUGAGGGACAAAGUCUGGUUGGACGUGUGAAGCUGUGUCGGACACAUUUUGUACUACGGAAAAUGCCCCCAAAGGUUACUCUCAUAAUUACACCCGUUUUAUCUAAGAGGGAAGCGUGUCACAAAUCCAAUUCUGGUGAGAAAGAGGGACAUCCAACCUGCAGAUGAAAAUGAGGUGCCUCCAGAACUGCAACAACAUACUUGUCCUAGAGGGAAUGAGUUUCUCAGUCAACAAGUCAAAUCCUUCCAACCUCUUCAAACAAUAAUCAUCCCAUGGGAGAUCCAGCAGCUUCCUGUAAAGAGAUCCAUGUUUCCCCCCCAAAGUCUCGCUCAGAAACAUUUCUUUCACCAGGCUGGUUU